rnacentral:rRNA from 1 species
GACGAACGCUGGCGGCGUGCCUAAUACAUGCAAGUAGAACGCUGAAGAGAGGAGCUUGCUCUUCUUGGAUGAGUUGCGAACGGGUGAGUAACGCGUAGGUAACCUGCCUUGUAGCGGGGGAUAACUAUUGGAAACGAUAGCUAAUACCGCAUAACAAUGGAUGACCCAUGUCAUUUAUUUGAAAGGGGCAAAUGCUCCACUACAAGAUGGACCUGCGUUGUAUUAGCUAGUAGGUGAGGUAACGGCUCACCUAGGCGACGAUACAUAGCCGACCUGAGAGGGUGAUCGGCCACACUGGGACUGAGACACGGCCCAGACUCCUACGGGAGGCAGCAGUAGGGAAUCUUCGGCAAUGGGGGCAACCCUGACCGAGCAACGCCGCGUGAGUGAAGAAGGUGUUCGGAUCGUAAAGCUCUGUUGUAAGUCAAGAACGAGUGUGAGAGUGGAAAGUUCACACUGUGACGGUAGCUUACCAGAAAGGGACGGCUAACUACGU